AUUGAACGCUGGCGGCAGGCCUAACACAUGCAAGUCGAACGAGUGGCGGACGGGAGGGCUAGGUCUGGGAAACUGCCUGGGGGAUGGGGUUAAGUACUGGAAGCGGUAACUACUACCGCAUACCUUCGGAUGGGCCGGGGUGGGAUUAGCUAGUUGGUGGGGUAAAGGCUCACCAAGGCGACGAUCCCUAGCUGGUCUGAGAGGAUGAACAGCCACACUGGAACUGAGACACGGUCCAGACUCCUACGGGAGGCAGCAGUGGGGAAUAUUGCACAAUGGGCGCAAGCCUGAUGCAGCCAUGCCGCGUGUAUGAAGAAGGCCUUCGGGUUGUAAAGUACUUUCAGCGGGGAGGCGUUACCAACAGAAUAAGCACCGGCUAACUUCGUGCCAGCAGCCGCGGUAAUAC
rnacentral:rRNA from 1 species